UUGUGUGUGAGUUUCGUCUUUUUGUGAUGGAAUUGUGAGUGUUUAUUUUGUGCACUUCGUCGUUACUCCGGAUGCGCCGUUUCGUCGAAUGUGAGUUUGGGGGAAAGAGGUUCAAUUCAUGUUGUAGCAAGCAGUUAUACCCACCCACCCUUGAAGCAGACGGAUGAAGAGUUGAAGCAAAGUGUUUGACGUGGAAAUGGCGUGAAAGAAGAAGGGAAGGCAAAAGUGUGGUCAUGACGGAUAGCGCCGAUAGGAGAUAGUAUGGAAAUGGGCGAGUGACGGAACGAAGUUAUUCGACGGUUUGACUGGACGCCGUAACCGUCGAUGUUUGAUAGUAAAAGAUAACACAAAGCACAAGGAAGGCAAAAUAGAAAAAGGCAACAACUUCAACAGUGAAACAAACACCCUCCUACCGAGGAGGAGCAGUUCAGAACAACGUGGUGGUGCUGAAGUGACAACCCCUACCCACAGCAGCAGCAGCCAUCAGCAACAAUUGUCUUGUCGUCAUCCACCAAGUGUAGAUAGUGCUGAAGACAACACUUUGCUCAGUGUGAUCAUUGCUGGGUGCGCUUUCUUCGAGUCGCCGCGCCGCGCCGCGCCGCCAUGCCACAUCGCGCGCGCUCUAGUAGAAGUGGAUAAAUAAAUUAAUGGUGGCGACGGCAAUCGAUUUGUCUUGGUCGCGUCAAGCGGCCUCGGAGGACGAGGACUUUGGGACCUGAAUCCUUUCAAGCGG